GCGCGAGUGGCGGAAUUGGCAGACGCAGGGUUCAGGUGCCUGUGUCCUUCGGGAUGUGAGGGUUCAAGUCCCUCCUCGCGCAC
rnacentral:tRNA from 1 species